rnacentral:rRNA from 1 species
GACGAACGCUGGCGGCGUGCCUAAUACAUGCAAGUCGAACGAACUCUGGUAUUGAUUGGUGCUUGCAUCAUGAUUUACAUUUGAGUGAGUGGCGAACUGGUGAGUAACACGUGGGAAACCUGCCCAGAAGCGGGGGAUAACACCUGGAAACAGAUGCUAAUACCGCAUAACAACUUGGACCGCAUGGUCCGAGUUUGAAAGAUGGCUUCGGCUAUCACUUUUGGAUGGUCCCGCGGCGUAUUAGCCAGAUGGUGGGGUAACGGCUCACCAUGGCAAUGAUACGUAGCCGACCUGAGAGGGUAAUCGGCCACAUUGGGACUGAGACACGGCCCAAACUCCUACGGGAGGCAGCAGUAGGGAAUCUUCCACAAUGGACGAAAGUCUGAUGGAGCAACGCCGCGUGAGUGAAGAAGGGUUUCGGCUCGUAAAACUCUGUUGUUAAAGAAGAACAUAUCUGAGAGUAACUGUUCAGGUAUUGACGGUAUUUAACCAGAAAGCCACGGCUAACUACGUGCCAGCAGCCGCGGUAAUACGUAGGUGGCAAGCGUUGUCCGGAUUUACUGGGCGUAAAGCGAGCGCAGGCGGUUUUUUAAGUCUGAUGUGAAAGCCUUCGGCUCAACCGAAGAAGUGCAUCGGAAACUGGGAAACUUGAGUGCAGAAGAGGACAGUGGAACUCCAUGUGUAGCGGUGAAAUGCGUAGAUAUAUGGAAGAACACCAGUGGCGAAGGCGGCUGUCUGGUCUGUAACUGACGCUGAGGCUCGAAAGUAUGGGUAGCAAACAGGAUUAGAUACCCUGGUAGUCCAUACCGUAAACGAUGAAUGCUAAGUGUUGGAGGGUUUCCGCCCUUCAGUGCUGCAGCUAACGCAUUAAGCAUUCCGCCUGGGGAGUACGGCCGCAAGGCUGAAACUCAAAGGAAUUGACGGGGGCCCGCACAAGCGGUGGAGCAUGUGGUUUAAUUCGAAGCUACGCGAAGAACCUUACCAGGUCUUGACAUACUAUGCAAAUCUAAGAGAUUAGACGUUCCCUUCGGGGACAUGGAUACAGGUGGUGCAUGGUUGUCGUCAGCUCGUGUCGUGAGAUGUUGGGUUAAGUCCCGCAACGAGCGCAACCCUUAUUAUCAGUUGCCAGCAUUAAGUUGGGCACUCUGGUGAGACUGCCGGUGACAAACCGGAGGAAGGUGGGGAUGACGUCAAAUCAUCAUGCCCCUUAUGACCUGGGCUACACACGUGCUACAAUGGAUGGUACAACGAGUUGCGAACUCGCGAGAGUAAGCUAAUCUCUUAAAGCCAUUCUCAGUUCGGAUUGUAGGCUGCAACUCGCCUACAUGAAGUCGGAAUCGCUAGUAAUCGCGGAUCAGCAUGCCGCGGUGAAUACGUUCCCGGGCCUUGUACACACCGCCCGUCACACCAUGAGAGUUUGUAACACCCAAAGUCGGUGGGGUAACCUUUUAGGAACCAGCCGCCUAAGGUGGGACAGAUGAUUAGGGUG